UUGUUGUCUCCUACAACAGAUCAGUGUCAGGAACCCCAGACAAGGGCCUUCUAUCAAAUUGGAGAGUCAUGGGACAAAGUCAUCCAUGGCAUCCACUAUCGCUGUUAUUGCUACGGCAAUGGGAUUGGAGAAAUGAGGUGUGAACCCCAGCAGAAUUACCAAGGUGGCCACAGGCCAGUCCAAGUCAUCAUCACGGAGGCGGGUAAACAGCCAGACUCGCACCCCAUCCAGUGGAACCCGCCCUCAUCUGUUCAGAUCACGCAAUACAUCCUCAAGUGGAAGAUU